AUAUCCCAUGUUUCCUUUUUCCACGAUUUUUCAUUUUCCACCUUUCAGACAGGAGAAUAAUGAAUAAUAUUUUAAUGAACUAAUAACAACAUUCCCUGCAAAGCGAGACAAUAUAAAUUAUAAUUAAUAGCAAAAUUACGAAGAGGAAAAUCAAUACGCUGAGAAGCAGAGCAUGGCGCACGAUUGCAACUAUCUCUCGGCGUACAUUAGCAGGACUAAUGGAAACUGAUUUGCUGCAACUGCGUUCUCGGCGAUUCGCUCGUUUCUUCUCUGGUUUCCUUCAUAGUCUCUCUUUUCUUUUCUUCAUCAUCAGUGUUUCAAAGGUUGCCUGGGUUUAUGAUGGAUUGGCGAAAGCUUUUCUCGUGCUCUGCUGGAAAUCAACUUCGAUAUUUUCCCCCAAAUUUGCGUGAUGGAACGCCGACAGUUCACCCACCACCUGAAGUUUUCAAAGAAGGAAUUGCAGAAUGGAGACUCUCACUAGUUGGGCACUUCCUUGGAGCAGCACCAAAGUUUUCAGCGCUACAACAGAUUAUAGAUAAUUUGUGGAAAAAACCCUUACAGGGUGCUUCGGUACAAACCAGUUAUGCAGGUACACGGCUACAAUAUGGAGUUCUCUGCUCCAACUGUCCGGGUUGAACUUACAGUUCAACAACUGGUCCAGUCUGCUCGAAUGGGCAGCAAAUUCAUGGUAGGGUGCUGAGAUUCCAUGGGACUUCUCGCAAGAACACCUGCCGCUCCACAUAUCGUGCCUCCCGGCACCAUCACGCCACGCCAUGAGGACGUGUUCAUGAGGAGAGCCGAUCCUCCAUCGGCACCGGCGACGAGCUCUCAACCGGAUGUGCGAGAAGAAAUGCAAGGCGUACAAGGUCGCCUCGCCUUCAUUGAUUCCAACCUCACCAAGAUUCUCUCCUACUUGCACGCGGGGUCAUCUCGACGCAGCCGCGAUCACGACUAUAAUUAAUCAGGGAAUAUUCCUUUUUCCUCUCCUUUGCAUUUUAAUUUUGAUUUACGUUUUGAGACAAAACGAUUUAAGUGGGGGAGGAUAUUAGUUAGAUUUUCCUUGCUUGAAAUUGAGUUUUUGAUAUUGACAUGCUUGAAUAAUUUGUUGCCAAGUCUUUUAUUUCGUUGAGUAAUUUGGUUGUUUUCUGAUGAAUUGUCUAAUUUUACUUUGAAUUUGAUGUUGAAUGCAUGAUGGUUCGUUGGUCUAGCUAGUUAAUUUUUUUUUGAAAUUAUGAUUUUUCAUGGUUGUUGAUUAAUUGAUGCAUGUACUUUAUUCAUUGAACCAAUUUUGGUGAGGCUUGGGCUUAAUGAGCAUGAAAUUUUUAUUUUCGUUCUUGCUCUUUGUUUCUUUUAGUGUGCCGAGCAUUGUUGUUGUAUUCUAGAACUUGUAGUUUGAUUCUUUUUUAGGCUACUAAAUUUAAUGUUUUUUGUAUGAUAGAGGCAUUAGGAUUAAACAUUUUCUAUUCCCAAAAAUAAAUUGCCUACCUUUAGUUUAUUUUUCUCUUAGAUGGCCAAUUUUGAGCCUCUCUUGUCACCCGUUUUCAGGAAGAGGUAAGGUUAUUCCUUCGGGAAAAAAUACAGAGAAAAGAGAGGAGCAAUGUUCGAAAAACAAAACAAAAAAUACACUGUUUGAACAGUGCAAAAAAUACUGUGUUGAUUCAAACAGUGCUGAAAAAUCAGUGAAAAAAUCAGUUUGGUUCAAACAAUGCAGAAAAAUAAUUGGAAAAAAAUCAGUUUGGUUUGAACUGUGCGGAAAAAAAUACAUUGCAGCAUAAAAAAAACAGCAGGCUCGAAUCGAAAAAACAAGAAAAGUUCGAAAAAGGAGAGUUUGUUGUUUCUUUUCGCUUGCUUCCUUUAGAAUAAAUUUUGGAAUGAUAUUCUCUUUUUCCUGAAACUUAAACCUGAUUUUUGGCCUAUUUCCUUACCCAAACCUUAGCCAAGUUACAACCCGAAUAAAGACCUCUCGACUUCUGCAUUGAUUUCAUUUUUAAGUAGUGGAGAUUAGAUUAAACUACAAGCUUAUGGUUGUGCUUUAAAUUUGCUUUGGCUUGAGCAUUUCUUGUCCUUAAACACUUAGAGCGAAUCAACGAAUCCUUUGUGAGGCAAUCAAGUUGUGUAUCAUGAGAUUAAUAGCUAUUGAAAUGUCUUUUCUCGAUUGUUUCUUAGCUUAGUCACUUGCUUGAAAUGCUUCAUGAGUUUUAAUUCUUUGCUUAAUUGUGGUUUAUUGGAACAAUUGAAUUAUGAAAUGAGUUAGGGAGUGGCAACCUAUGUUCUUAGCAUGUUGGUUGAGAAGUGUGUGAGAACAAGCAUUAGAUAAGUGAGGGGAAAUUUGACUGAUGUUUAUUUUGUGCUUAAAUGCUAUUUGUUUGUCCAUGUUUACUACUGAAUUGGAUGUUUUUACAUGUUUUUUUUGCAUAGCGAUCACUGUUGGAAAAUGUGCUAAAAAGGGCUGAAAUCUGCACUUUUUGUUCUGGGAUCAAGAUUGCAACAGUGGGCAUGAAUUGCUGAUGUGACAGUGAGUUAGUAGGUUCUAAAAGGUCCAUUCAACAUCCAGUCAUCACCCAAUCAGCGAGCUUCUAGAAGAUUGACGAACGACUAUGCAUUUCAAGCACAUUCAAAUUCAAGAUUUAGGAUUUAUCUUUUAGAUUAAAUUCAAACUAUUUUUCAGAAUUAUCUUUUGUAAUUGUAUUUGAAUUGUCUUUAGCAUUUCCAGGGUUUUAGAAGGCUACCAAUACCUUUCAAGGUAAGCCUAUUUCAUAUCUCGAAUAA